CCUACGGGUGGCUGCAGUGGGGAAUAUUGGGCAAUGGACGCGAGCCUGACCCAGCAACGCCGCGUGAAGGAAGAAGGCUUUCGGGUUGUAAACUUCUUUUUACAGGGAAGUGUAGAAGACGGUGCGUGUCGAAUAAUCCAUGGCUAACUACGUGCCAGCAGCCGAGGUAAUACGUAGGUGGACAGCGUUGUCCGGAUUUACUGGGUUUAACGGGCGUGUAGGUGGGUUGGGAAGUCAGAUGUGAAAGCCUGCGGCUUAACCGCAGAACUGCAUUUGAAACUGGUGAUCUUGAGUACUGGAGAGGCAGACGGAAUGCGUAGUGUAGCGGUGAAAUGCGUAGAUAUUAGGAAGAACACCAGUUGCGAAGGCAGUCUACUGGACAGCAACUGACGCUGAGGCGCGAAAGCGUGGGUAUCAAACAGGAUUAGAUACCCGAGUAGUC
rnacentral:rRNA from 1 species